rnacentral:misc_RNA from 1 species
AAGUCGUAACAAGGUUUCCGUAGGUGAACCUGACGCUUUCAGACAGGGGAGUGCUCUAGGGUACCAGGGUGCUUUAUCUAGCGCUCAAUUGCAGCGUCCACGUACACACAGAACUUCCCAAAAUCAAAAUCUGUAAUUCUUUAGCGCCUGAUUUACUCGGGAUUGCUGUUUUGAUGUCCUGCAAGAACACGCUGAAGGUUCACAGGGUUGUUUUAACGUUUGGAUACGUGUUAAUGGGGAUCAAUGUUCAGGGUGGCGCAGUCAACGAUCGCUGUAGGUCCACACGACCGGCGACCGGGGUGGAGGCGAAAGCCCCUACGUCAUCCCUAUGUACCCUCCGGGACUUGGCGAAAGCUGACUCCGUCAUAAAUCGAACAACUGUUAACAAUGGAUAUCUUGGUUCUC